GAUGAACGCUGACCGAAUGCUUAACACAUGCAAGUCAACUUGAAUUUGGGUUUUUAACUUAGGUUUGGGUGGCGGACGGGUGAGUAACGCGUAAAGAACUUGCCUCACAGCUAGGGACAACAUUUGGAAACGAAUGCUAAUACCUAAUAUUAUGAUAAUAGGGCAUCCUAUAAUUAUGAAAGCUAUAAGCGCUGUGAGAGAGCUUUGCGUCCCAUUAGCUAGUUGGAGAGGUAACGGCUCACCAAGGCGAUGAUGGGUAGCCGGCCUAAGAGGGUGAUCGGCCACAAGGGGACUGAGACACGGCCCUUACUCCUACGGGAGGCAGCAGUGGGGAAUAUUGGACAAUGGACCGAGAGUCUGAUCCAGCAAUUCUGUGUGCACGAUGAAGUUUUUCGGAAUGUAAAGUGCUUUCAGUUGGGAAGAAACAAAUGACGGUACCAACAGAAGAAGUGACGGCUAAAUACGUG
rnacentral:rRNA from 1 species